rnacentral:rRNA from 1 species
UACGGGGGGGGGCAAGCGUUGUUCGGAAUUACUGGGCGUAAAGGGCUCGUAGGUGGCCAACUAAGUCAGACGUGAAAUCCCUCGGCUUAACCGGGGAACUGCGUCUGAUACUGGAUGGCUUGAGUUCGGGAGAGGGAUGCAGAAUUCCAGGUGUAGCGGUGAAAUGCGUAGAUAUCUGGAGGAAUACCGGUGGCGAAGGCGGCAUCCUGGACCGACAUUGACGCUGAGGAGCGAAAAGCUAGGGGAGCAAACGGG